UCCUCUUCUCUCUGGUUCUCUCUCACAAGAUUCUUCAUCCACAAACCCUAAAUCUUCUCCGCAACGACAUAUAUUCAGAUCAUAUAAAUAGUGACUUUGAAGUGUUGAUUACUAAACAAUUCUCCUUCGUUCUUCCUCUCGCCGUUCAUCAAUCUCCUUCUUUAUCAAGAAUCAAAUAUAAUCAAAGAUCCGAUCAUAAAAAUUGAAGAUUUGGGCAUGCUUUAUUCGAUGGUGUUUCAGAUCUUGUAGGUGUAACCUGGUUAGGGUUUUUCAGAGGACGCCAUGAUGACAGAAAUGUGGUUUUUCAAGAUUUUUGACUGUCACCAGCAACCGUUAUGUUGUUUAUCAUCU